AAGUUUAUUUUGUAUUAGUCGUGUGCGUAUCAUUGUGUGUGUGAUUUUUCAAAAUUAAAAAAAAAAAAAAAAAAAAAAAACCGAAUAGCAUUGCGCACGUGCGGAUGCUGGAAACAAUUUCAGGAAUGGCGGGCGUUGCGAAAACAAUAAUUAACACCCCCCCCGAUAGUUUUCAAUAAUAAUAUUAUAUUUUACUGUUAUAUUCCUUAUGAAUUCUGUAUAUGUUUGAAAUAUCGGAUUCCACAGUUGUCCCCCUGACCUACCGGCGUCCGCCAUACGUAUUCCGAAUAAACGAUACAAAUGCAGUUCGUUUCGACAAAUGUUAACAACGGGACUCGGCUUGUUCGCGUUCGUCCGUUACAAACAAACACCACCGCCAGUGCGGUUAUGCAGACGGAAAUUUAAAAUACUAUACGCCUAUUGCCAAUGUUCGUAUGUUUCGCGUAAGCCUACGAAAAAUUACUCGAUUUUUCAGAAAACCAAACGAAUACAUAAAAAUAUACACAUAAUAUAACAAAAAAUUCGACCGAUUUCCGAGCCGUAUUUCGUACGCUAUACGACAGCUGUCGUUUCGCGUGGUUAUAUAAAUGGUGCAAUACACCUAAUCAGGCGCGUGUACGAGGGGGGGGGGAGAAAGGAGGUCCGUAAGUUAAAAAAUUAAACAACAUUGAACUAUAGAACUUUAUCCGAAUACAAUGUUUUACUAUAGCUAUACAGGUACACCUGCUGGGCAUGUGUUCAAUAUUUUCCCGUACAAGAUUAAAAGAAAAAAAAAAGUAAUUUUCUAAAGUCACUACUAACAAAACUAAUAAACUAAUAAACGCCGUGUAGAAACUCAACGUUUAUAAUAUCCUUAGAAAAACUCCUAACAUAAACGAUUACGAUCUAUAUAAAAUACACACACACACACAGACACACAAAAAUUAGUUUUGAUGGACUGUGUAUAUUGCAGGGGCGCAAUCAGUGUACAUGGGACUUAUUUUGGAUAGCAAAUUAUCAAACAGAUGACGUGCAUAAUUUCAAAUCGCGAGUAAUAUUCCGUUAUUGCAGUAUAAACUAUGCAUAUAAACGCGCGGAAUUCGUAAAAAAAAAAAGUUAAAAAAUUUCGGUAAGAGAGAUUAUAACCCUUAACCCCCUUGGUCAUGCCACUGGUAUAUUUUAUAUAAUCAGUUUUAGUCUCGGAAAUUGUACCUUAUAAAUCUAACAUAUUAUUAUAGCUUAUAAUAUAUAACCAGAAAAGUAAAUUAUUGAAAAAAAACAAACAAAACAAAUUCAUUGCGUACACAAUUGUUAGUAUUGUAAUGAAUUUUUUUUUUGUUCGGAUUAAAAUUUAUUGUAAGCAUAAUGCGUGCAUUAUCUGCUGUUUUAAUGGAUGUUAAAAAUAAUAUUAUUAUAUUAUAUUAUAUUAUAUUAUAUUAUAUGUUUUGUUUAAGAAGAAAACCUGUGAAAUAAUAUUCGUUUUAGACGCCAUUUUGGCGAGGUAUUUUUGUUAAUUAAUGUGCAGAUGAUAAUAUAAUAAUAUUAUCAACCGGCUUUCGGUGAAAAUUAAAUUUCAAAAAAAAAAAAAAAAAAAAUUAAAAUGAAAUUCUGUAAUGUAUAAUACGAUGAUUGUUGUCUAAAAAUAUAAUUAUACACGACGG
rnacentral:lncRNA from 1 species